rnacentral:piRNA from 1 species
UCCACUUGGAGUUUGAUGGUUCUAGGCAU